AGGAUGAUGAUGAAAAAUCCCCAGCUGGAGGGGCUUUAACCAUCCUCCUUGGCUAGCUUCAAAUCCAUGGAGAACGAUGAUGGAGUUUCUUUGGAAAGUGGCGAAAGAAGUCCUCUGCUGGAUAAGAGCCAAUCAUCAAGGCAUUUUGAAGACAAUGGUUCUGAGGAGAUC